rnacentral:rRNA from 1 species
AUUGAACGCUGGCGGCAGGCUUAACACAUGCAAGUCGAGCGGGGUGAUGGUGCUUGCACUAUCACUUAGCGGCGGACGGGUGAGUAAUGCUUAGGAAUCUGCCUAUUAGUGGGGGACAACAUCUCGAAAGGGAUGCUAAUACCGCAUACGUCCUACGGGAGAAAGCAGGGGAUCACUUGUGACCUUGCGCUAAUAGAUGAGCCUAAGUCGGAUUAGCUAGUGGGUGGGGUAAAGGCCUACCAAGGCGACGAUCGGUAGCGGGUCAGAGAGGAUGCUCCGCCACACUGGGCAUGAGACACGGCCCAGACUCCUACGGGAGGCAGCAGUGGGGAAUAUUGGACAAUGGGGGGAACCCUGAUCCAGCCAUGCCGCGUGUGUGAAGAAGGCCUUAUGGUUGUAAAGCACUUUAAGCGAGGAGGAGGCUCUUUUGGUUAAUACCCAAGAUGAGUGGACGUUACUCGCAGAAUAAGCACCGGCUAACUCUGUGCCAGCAGCCGCCGUAA